AGUGGGGUAGCUGGGUCAAAUGGUGAUUCCAUUCCCAGUUUUCUGAGGAAUCUCCAUAUUGCUUUCCAAAGUAGUUGCACCAAUUUUGCAGUCCCACCAGCAAU
rnacentral:pre_miRNA from 1 species